CAGUCGCCGCGGGAAUACGAAGGGUGCAAGCGUUAAUCGGAAUUACUGGGCGUAAAGCGUGCGUAGGCGGUUUGUUAAGUCUGCUGUGAAAUCCCCGGGCUCAACCUGGGAAUGGCAGUGGAUACUGGCAAGCUGGAGUGUGUCAGAGGAUGGUGGAAUUCCCGGUGUAGCGGUGAAAUGCGUAGAGAUCGGGAGGAACAUUAGUGGCGAAGGCGGCCAUCUGGGACAACACUGACGCUGAGGCACGAAAGCGUGGGGAGCAAACAGGAUUAGAUACCCGCGUAGUCCCUGUCUCUUAUAC
rnacentral:rRNA from 1 species